GACAGAGGGUGCAAACGUUGUUCGGAAUUACUGGGCGUAAAGCGCGUGUAGGCGGCUAUGCAAGUCGGAUGUGAAAGCCCUCGGCUCAACCGGGGAAGUGCACCCGAAACUGCAAAGCUAGAGUCUCGGAGAGGAUCGUGGAAUUCUCGGUGUAGAGGUGAAAUUCGUAGAUAUCGAGAGGAACACCAGUGGCGAAGGCGGAGACCUGGGCCGAUACUGACGCUGAGGUGCGAAAGCGUGGGGAGCAAACAGG
rnacentral:rRNA from 1 species